GACGAACGCUGGCGGCGUGCCUAAUACAUGCAAGUCGAACGCAGGGGGGACGGGUGAGUAACACGUGGGUAACCUCCCAUCAGAGGGGAUAACACUUGGAAACAGGUGCUAAACCGAUACUGAUGGAUGUACCCGGGGUGCAUUAGCUAGUUGGUGGGGUAACGGCUCACCAAGGCCACGAUGCAUAGCCGGCCUGAGAGGGUGAUCGGCCACACUGGAACUGAGACACGGCCCAGACUCCUACGGGAGGCAGCAGUGGGGAAUCUUCGGCAAUGGACGAAAGUCUGACCGAGCAACGCCGCGUGAAUGAAGAAGGUUUUCGGGUCGUAAAACUCUGUUAUUAGAGAAGCGGUAUCUGACCAGAAAGCAACGGCUAACUACGUGCCAGCAGCCGCGGUAAUUC
rnacentral:rRNA from 1 species